rnacentral:rRNA from 1 species
CCUACGGGUGGCAGCAGUAGGGAAUAUUGCUCAAUGGGGGAAACCCUGAAGCAGCAACGCCGCGUGGAGGAUGAAGGUUUUCGGAUUGUAAACUCCUUUUGUUAGAGAAGAUAAUGACGGUAUCUAACGAAUAAGCACCGGCUAACUCCGUGCCAGCAGCCGCGGUAAUACGGAGGGUGCAAGCGUUACUCGGAAUCACUGGGCGUAAAGAGCGCGGAGGCGGGAUAGCAAGUCAGAUGUGAAAUCCUAGGGCUGAACCAUAGAAAUGCAUUUGAAACUGUUAUUCUAGAGUAUGGGAGAGGUAGGUGGAAUUCUUGGUGUAGGGGUAAAAUCCGUAGAGAUCAAGAGGAAUACUCAUUGCGAAGGCGACCUGCUAGAACAUAACUGACGCUGAUGCGCGAAAGCGUGGGGAGCAAACAGGAUUAGAUACCCCUGUAGUC